UACCAGCUCUCCGAGUGGUGUGGAUGUUUAUUGGGCUUAAAGCGUCCGUAGCCGGCUUAGCAAGUCUCCUGUUAAAUUCAGCGACCUAAUCGUUGAGCCGCGGGAGAUACUACUAGGCUAGGAGGCGGGAGAGGUCGACGGUACUUCUGGGGUAGGGGUGAAAUCCUAUAAUCCCGGGAGGACCACCAGUGGCGAAGGCUGUCGACUAGAACGCGCUCGACGGUGAGGGACGAAAGCUGGGGGAGCGAACCGGAUUAGAUACCCGGGUAGUCCCAGCUGUAAACGAUGCGGGCUAGGUGUUGGGGUGGCUACGUGCCACUUCAGUGCCGCAGGGAAGCCAUUAAGCCCGCCGCCUGGGGAGUACGGCCGCAAGGCUGAAACUUAAAGGAAUUGGCGGGGGAGCACCACAAGGCGUGAAGCUUGCGGUUC
rnacentral:rRNA from 1 species